rnacentral:tRNA from 1 species
GGAGUUGUGCCUGAAGCUAAGGGCCACUUUGAUAGAGUGAAACACGGGGGUUAAAAUCCCCCCAACUCCU